rnacentral:rRNA from 1 species
UACGUAGGGUGCAAGCGUUAAUCGGAAUUAUUGGGCGUAAAGCGUGCGCAGGCGGUUUUUCAAGUCUGGCGUGAAAUCCCCGGGCUUAACCUGGGAAUGGCGAUGGAGACUGCAAGGCUAGAGUUUGGCAGAGGGGGGUAGAAUUCCACGUGUAGCAGUGAAAUGCGUAGAGAUGUGGAGGAACACCGAUGGCGAAGGCAGCCCCCUGGGUCAAAACUGACGCUCAUGCACGAAAGCGUGGGGAGCAAACAGG